UGAUUUCUUAAAUUACAGAUUGAUUUUGAAUUUCUUUGUCCCGGUUGAUCGUUCUUCCGUCGGGAGGCGAUCCGGCCGCUGGCCAAAAUUUCGAAGUCCUCGUUGUUCGGAGCCCUACGAUGAAAUCUUUCGACAAAACGCCGGAUAGGAACUCGUCUUUUUCUGAACCCGUCAGCUCAAUCCACAGUCCUCUUUAUUCCGAUGGCUCUUCUUCUUCUUCCUGUAACGAUCAUCCAAAAUUGGGGCAUAAGAAACAAUUCAUCAAGAAACGAGGCGGAUUUGUAUUUCGGGUAUUCGACCAUGUUAAGUUGGGGCCUAAAUUCUUGGUAACUGCCAAAGGUAAAUUGAGAUUAGGGGCAAAAAUUAUACAACAAGGUGGCAGAAAGAACAUAUUCAAACAGGUUUUUGGAAUUGUAGAAGGAGAGCAGCUUUUGAAGGCCUCUCAAUGCUACUUAUCAACAAGUGCAGGGCCCAUUGCUGGGAUUCUUUUCAUAUCCACAGAGAAGGUUGCUUUCUGCAGUGAGCAAAGUAUCACUUUCUCUUCACCAACUGGAGAAUUGAUCAAAACGCCUUAUAAGGUUUUGAUACCAUUAAAGAAGAUUAGAAGCGCCAAUCAAAGUGAGAAUGUCAAUGAGCCAGCAAAAAAGUACAUUGAAGUGGUGACGGAUGACAACUUUGAUUUCUGGUUUAUGGGGUUCUUGAGAUACGAAAAGGCAUUUACAAAUCUUCAAAAGGCCAUUUCCAUGGCUAACAGAAUGCAAUAGUUUACAGAGUAUCAUGAAACCAACCAAUUCUGGCUGAAGAAGAAGAUGUUGCUUUUGCUUCUCAUUCAAAGGAGUGCUUUUUGAAGUUAGGAAUUUCACUUACUUACAUCUUUGACUGUUUCUAAUGGAUGGAUUGUUCUGUAUUUUGUAUGUAUCUGAUGAGUGCCGUUUUAAGUUCAGUUUCCCCACAUCCCUGUGUAUCUAAGUGGGGUUGAUUGAAACAUGUGAAAUAUUUUAUUCUCUCUCGAAUUGUA
rnacentral:misc_RNA from 1 species